GAUGAACGCUAGCUACAGGCUUAACACAUGCAAGUCGAGGGGCAGCAUGGUCUUAGCUUGCUAAGGCCGAUGGCGACCGGCGCACGGGUGAGUAACACGUAUCCAACCUGCCGUCUACUCUUGGACAGCCUUCUGAAAGGAAGAUUAAUACAAGAUGGCAUCAUGAGUCCGCAUGUUCACAUGAUUAAAGGUAUUCCGGUAGACGAUGGGGAUGCGUUCCAUUAGAUAGUAGGCGGGGUAACGGCCCACCUAGUCUUCGAUGGAUAGGGGUUCUGAGAGGAAGGUCCCCCACAUUGGAACUGAGACACGGUCCAAACUCCUACGGGAGGCAGCAGUGAGGAAUAUUGGUCAAUGGGCGAGAGCCUGAACCAGCCAAGUAGCGUGAAGGAUGACUGCCCUAUGGGUUGUAAACUUCUUUUAUAAAGGAAUAAAGUCGGGUAUGGAUACCCGUUUGCAUGUACUUUAUGAAUAAGGAUCGGCUAACUCCGUGCCAGCAGCCGCGGUAAUACGGAGGACCCGAGCGUUAUCCGGAUUUAUUGGGUUUAAAGGGAGCGUAGAUGGAUGUUUAAGUCAGUUGUGAAAGUUUGCGGCUCAACCGUAAAAUUGCAGUUGAUACUGGAUAUCUUGAGUGCAGUUGAGGCAGGCGGAAUUCGUGGUGUAGCGGUGAAAUGCUUAGAUAUCACGAAGAACUCCGAUUGCGAAGGCAGCCUGCUAAGCUGCAACUGACAUUGAGGCUCGAAAGUGUGGGUAUCAAACAGGAUUAGAUACCCUGGUAGUCCACACGGUAAACGAUGAAUACUCGCUGUUUGCGAUAUACUGCAAGCGGCCAAGCGAAAGCGUUAAGUAUUCCACCUGGGGAGUACGCCGGCAACGGUGAAACUCAAAGGAAUUGACGGGGGCCCGCACAAGCGGAGGAACAUGUGGUUUAAUUCGAUGAUACGCGAGGAACCUUACCCGGGCUUAAAUUGCAGAUGAAUUACGGUGAAAGCCGUAAGCCGCAAGGCAUCUGUGAAGGUGCUGCAUGGUUGUCGUCAGCUCGUGCCGUGAGGUGUCGGCUUAAGUGCCAUAACGAGCGCAACCCUUGUUGUCAGUUACUAACAGGUUCCGCUGAGGACUCUGACAAGACUGCCAUCGUAAGAUGUGAGGAAGGUGGGGAUGACGUCAAAUCAGCACGGCCCUUACGUCCGGGGCUACACACGUGUUACAAUGGGGGGUACAGAGGGCCGCUACCACGCGAGUGGAUGCCAAUCCCCAAAACCUCUCUCAGUUCGGACUGGAGUCUGCAACCCGACUCCACGAAGCUGGAUUCGCUAGUAAUCGCGCAUCAGCCACGGCGCGGUGAAUACGUUCCCGGGCCUUGUACACACCGCCCGUCAAGCCAUGGGAGCCGGGGGUACCUGAAGUGCGUAACCGCGAGGAGCGCCCUAGGGUAAAACUGGUGACUGGGGCUAA
rnacentral:rRNA from 1 species